AUUCCGUGGUGAGGGCAAGCCAAGAGAUACUCUUGGAAGCACUCCCACACCUCAGGGAUUGACUCAUUUGACGCUUGCUGGAAGUUGGUUAUCCUUUCACGAAGGGC
rfam:Dichanthelium oligosanthes cultivar Kellogg 1175 unplaced genomic scaffold Do_version_2_scaffold1783, whole genome shotgun sequence.